CUGUAAUUGGAAUGAGUACACUUUAAAUCCUUUAACAAGGACCUAUUGGAGGGCAAGUCUGGUGCCAGCAGCCGCGGUAACUCCAGCUCCAAUAGCGUAUAUUAAAGUUGUUGCGGUUAAAACGUUCGUAGUUGAACUUGUGCUUCAUACGGGUAGUACAACUAUAAUUGUAGUUUGUACUGUACCUUAUGUAUGUAAGCGUAUUACCGGUGGAGUUCUUAUAUGUAAAUAUUUUAUUUUCCUCCUAUUUAAACCUGCUUCAGUGCUCUUCAUCGAGUGUUGUUGUGGGCCGGUACAAUUACUUUGAACAAAUUAGAGUGCUUAAAGCAGGCUCCAAAUGCCUGAAUAUUUUGUGCAUGGAAUAAUGAAAUAAGACCCCUGUUCUACUUUCAUUGGUUUUUAGAUCAAGAGGUAAUGAUUAAUAGAAGCAGUUUGGGGGCAUUAGUAUUACGACGCGAGAGGUGAAAUUCUUGGACCGUCGUAAGACUAACUUAAGCGAAAGCAUUUGCCAAAGAUGUUUUCAUUAAUCAAGAACGAAAGUUAGAGGUUCGAAGGCGAUCAGAUACCGCCCUAGUUCUAACCAUAAACGAUGCCAGCUAGCAAUUGGGUGUAGCUACUAUCAUGGCUCUCUCAGUCGCUUCCCGGGAAACCAAAGCUUUUGGGCUCCGGGGGAAGUAUGGUUGCAAAGCUGAAACUUAAAGGAAUUGACGGAAGGGCACCACCAGGAGUGGA
rnacentral:rRNA from 1 species